rnacentral:tRNA from 2 species
GGCCAGAUAGCUCAGUCGGUAGAGCAGGGGACUGAAAAUCCCCGUGUCGCUGGUUCGAUUCCAGCUCUGGCCACCA